UAUAGGCACCUACAUAUAUCAGCUCUGUUGUCGAAACAUGAUGUCUAUUGUCACUUUAGAUGCAGUCUCUCUCCAAAUAUAACAGAAAAGGAACAGGACCUAAGGAGAACUCCAAACCUUCCAGACUGGCCACUGGAGCACAGAUGAAGGAACUAAAAGUAUUUUCCAGCAAGACCACUUCUGGUGCAUCAGUUCCAAGUUCUUCUGGCAGGAAAGAUCUUCCUGUGGUCACACAGCAUCUGACAUCUUCCCCAUCAUGUGCCCCAUGUUACAAAGCCCACUGCAUUGAAGAUGAAACCACAGGGAUUAGUCCUGAUUGUACAAUGCCAUGUGAACACGAAGGAUGUUUAUAGUUUAAAAAAUAUUUCCUCUUUCUCCCGGGCUACAUUUUUCAGACCAAUCCUGACCUGUUUUGUAAAAGAAGAUAUAUUCAGUAAGACCACAGACCAUCCACAGAGCUUUUUGGUCUCCAACAAUCUCCAGUUAAUGACUGUCUGUUGGGAAAAAGCAUAAAAAGGAAAAUGUACACUGAUGUUCCCACAUUUUAGCUUUCCAGCUUCCUACAAUCUGUGGCUAUGCAGUUUCCUGACCUGGGGGUUAUUUCUUUGUCUAUCACUCUGUGGUGGAUUUUCCUUCCAUGUUUUUAUCUAAUUGCUUUUUGAACCCGUGAAAACUUAUGACACUCACAACAUCCCAUGGCAAUGAGUUUCAUAGUUUAAUUACGUGCUUCAUGAAAAAGUGUUUUCCUUUAAUCAUUUUGAACCCACCUUCAUUUGAUACCUCCAAGAUUUUGUAUUACAAGAAAUUGCUCUUUCUUCACUCUUUCCAUGUUUGUCAUGAUUUCAUUGGCAUCUGUCACAUCCUUGAAAAAUUACUUUCCUUGCUGAAGAGACUCAUUUUAGUUUAUCUCCCUUAACAUGGAACCUCUUUCAUAUCUUUAAGUAUCUUGGCUAUUUCUUUCUUUAUUUUAUAUUUUUUUUACCCUGUUUAUAUAGAAAGACAUCUCAUACAGUAAUUUGUACCUCCCUAAGCAUCUUUUUAUCAUUCAAGUACAGGAGAACUUUAUACCCACUUUUGACUGCAAAGAUGUGAAUCUGCAGAGAGUUUGGUUCUCCACAUUCAAUAAAUAUUAAGCAGUUUCUAUUUAUCAUGGAAAAAAUUCUAUUCUGGCUUGUGAUGUG
ensembl:lncRNA